rnacentral:rRNA from 1 species
GACGAACGCUGGCGGCGUGCUUAACACAUGCAAGUCGAACGGAAAGGCCCUGCUUGCAGGGUACUCGAGUGGCGAACGGGUGAGUAACACGUGGGUGAUCUGCCCUGCACUUCGGGAUAAGCCUGGGAAACUGGGUCUAAUACCGGAUAGGAGCCAUUUUUAGUGUGAUGGUUGGAAAGUUUUUUCGGUGUAGGAUGAGCUCGCGGCCUAUCAGCUUGUUGGUGGGGUAAUGGCCUACCAAGGCGGCGACGGGUAGCCGGCCUGAGAGGGUGGACGGCCACAAUGGGACUGAGAUACGGCCCAGACUCCUAAGGGAGGCAGCAGUGGGGAAUAUUGCACAAUGGGGGCAAGCCUGAUGCAGCGACGCCGCGUGGGGGAUGACGGCCUUCGGGUUGUAAACUCCUUUCGCUAGGGACGAAGCUUUUUGUGACGGUACCUAGAUAAGAAGCACCGGCUAACUACGUG